UGCAAUUAUGAAUUUAAUUCCACAUAUUUUGGCGGGUUGUCUUGUCUCGUGUCAGUAUUCUGAGCUAGAGGCUGUGGCUCUCUGCCUCUCUCCUCCGCUACUUGUCUAUAAGUACACGACCCAUGCACUGGCUAAUGGCCCUCUCCAACCUCAAUGUCCUUCUCGCUCUGAUACACAAGAAACGGCUCGCAGUUUCAGGAUCUCUUCUCCUCUUUACCUGCUCUAUCUCCACCUUUUGACGCCUCUUCAAUCUUUUCUCAUUUCAUUUUCUUUUGACUUUCUAUCAUUUUGCCUUAGUUUCUCUCAAUCCAAACAUGACAACCUUCAAAAUACCAACUUUCUUGCCUUUCUCAAAACUCCCAAUACACCCUAAUCCUGACCCUAAACAUAGCGGACAUAAAAUUAAAUUCUCUCUAUCAUUCAAUCACAAAUACAGCUAUGGUUUUAAUUCCAACUCGUUAAUUUUGAAAUUUCAUUGUAAAAGACAUAACCUUUCAGUUUCUUGUUCUGCGGCUAUCCAGGCUCCGGCGGGGACCAUCAACAGAGCCGAGGUCGCUGCCGAUAGGAUUCAACGGCUUGUUUCUGAAUUCGCGUCUCUUGACGAGCCGAUUGACCGCGUGAAGCGGCUUUUAGAUUACGCCGCCCGUCUACCUCCAUUUAAUGAGUCGGCUCGCUCGCUGGGAAACCGAGUCAUAGGGUGCACGACUCAGGUGUGGCUAGAAGUGAGAAUGGACGAAAAUGGGAGAAUGAGAUUCAGAGCCGAUAGCGACUCGGAGAUUACCAAAGGUUUUAUUUCGUGCUUGAUUUGGUCGCUUGAUGGCGCGGAGCCCGGUGAGGUGGUAGCGGUGAAGUCGGAGGAUUUGGCGGCGAUGAAUGUGGGCUUGUAUGGUAAGGCCCAAUCGAGAGUGAAUACGUGGCAUAAUGUAUUAAUCAGUAUGCAGAAUAGGACUAAAGCUUUGGCUGCGAAGCGAAAGGAGUUGGCUUUGGAGCCGCUUCCGUCACUGGUGGUUACCACCGACGGUAUCGGUGGCGCUGGUAGUUUUGCCCAAGCUCAGGUAGGUAGAAAUUUCUCAUCCCUGUUCUGAGUUUUGUUUAUUUUUAUUUAAUUUUAUCCAGGAACUUGGGUAUCAGUCGUAUACAAUAUUGCUGACAUUUUAAGCAAGAAUUAAAAAUUAUUUUUCUUUCAUUGCAUACCUUAGCAUUUAAUAUGAAUUGAAGUUGUAAAAUUUAUUCUUUUGAUGUCUAAGUAUUUUUAUUAAUUCUAUAUUACAUGUUUUUUGCUUAGUGACAUGAUAAAAUGCAGGUUACCAAGGAAGUGGAAUUGGGAAGUAGAGUCUAGGAAUGGGGAGGCAUGCAGAAGCUUGAGUAAAUGUGGCCUUCUUGCCUCUGGGAUGGAAGGUCUGUUUUUGUUUAUCAACGUAGUUUACUCUCAAAUUCUCGGAUCCCUUUUCCUUCUAUUUUUGUUUGACUUGCACAAGCAUAUCUUUAUGUUCUGAUUCCUGCCAUCCACUUCCAAUUAGAGAUUUAUUUAUCUUAUGGUCAAAUUACAUGGAUAUACCUUCUUUCAGUAAAUUUUAAUUCACAAACUAGUGCUCAACUCGGUCACUGUAAAUACCAUUAUGCUAUUUUCACUUGUACAUGCAGCCUCUGAUUUAGGCACUAGUUGAUUCCUAUAGAAUGUCUGCAACCAGGAUCACAGAUGCAUUGUGGUCAUGAAGUUCUGGGAAUAGAGGACAUAUCCCAUUCUCUGAUGCCUUCUUGGUGGCUAAUUUUAAAAUUUCUGGAGAGACGUUUUCCUUCAGCAAUUGAAGCAAAAAGAGAAGGAAUGGUACAGGUGCUGGCAAAUAGAUUGUUAAAUUUUGAAUCCUGUACCAGGACAGCAAAUGUGAGCAACGAAAUUAUCUUCCCAGUUUCAUCAGACUCGUCGUUAAACAUGGAGGAGUCUAUCCAAUGAAUAAAGUGCAGUUAGAUGGGUGAUUUUACAAGACUACACGACGUGUCUUGUCCAUACAUGAAGGUAUAUGUGUUUUCACUUAGAAAAGGAAAAUUUUAGUAUAACAAAAAUGUUAUGCAUAAGCAGUUGACCAUGGCAGUGAAUUUGGAAUGCGCCAUGGAAAAUGUCUCCAACAGUAAUAACUUUUGGUUUGUGAUUUCAAGCUUCAUUUGCCUCAGAUGUCAUGUAAUGCAAUUUUUAGUCUCUAUCUGUGUCAGGAUGGUUCACUUACUGAUUUCAAGUCUGUCACUAGCUUCUUGAAGAAAAUAUUCUUUCAAAGCUUGCAUCUUGGGAAUUCAAGUCCCAUACUCCAACCUCAAAUACCAGCAAAAAUGAGACACACUUUCAGGUUGCCUUCCUCAAAUGAUGGAACAUCUGAUUGUCAACAUUUGGAGACCCAAUUUAGAUUAUUCAGCUUUCUGGCUCUCACAGAUUCUAUGGAUUUGCUUCUUCAGUAAACAAACGGAUUACAAAUAAACUUGAGUACAAGAACUUCAUUCAGAUAUCAAAGGGAAGAGGUCAAAAUGGAGUUCUGAGUUGGGAAUUGUCAUGGAUGCUGUUCUGUUUAUUGAUUUUUCUGGGACCUGGAUUUCUAAGCAAAAAUGUUGCUUCUCUAGCAAAAAAUAGAAUAAGCAGAGAAUACUGUUGGUACUCACUAUUAUUUUCUUCUCCGAGUUAGAUGAAGAAAUCACGUAUUUUUAUCAUGAAUUCUGUUAGCUAUAGUAAAUUAUAAAUUUUUAUAUUUU
rnacentral:misc_RNA from 1 species